AAGGAUCAUUACCGAGUGAGGGCCCUCUGGGUCCAACCUCCCACCCGUGUUUAUUUUACCUUGUUGCUUCGGCGGGCCCGCCUUAACUGGCCGCCGGGGGGCUUACGCCCCCGGGCCCGCGCCCGCCGAAGACACCCUCGAACUCUGUCUGAAGAUUGUAGUCUGAGUGAAAAUAUAAAUUAUUUAAAACUUUCAACAACGGAUCUCUUGGUUCCGGCAUCGAUGAAGAACGCAGCGAAAUGCGAUACGUAAUGUGAAUUGCAAAUUCAGUGAAUCAUCGAGUCUUUGAACGCACAUUGCGCCCCCUGGUAUUCCGGGGGGCAUGCCUGUCCGAGCGUCAUUGCUGCCCUCAAGCACGGCUUGUGUGUUGGGCCCCGUCCUCCGAUCCCGGGGGACGGGCCCGAAAGGCAGCGGCGGCACCGCGUCCGGUCCUCGAGCGUAUGGGGCUUUGUCACCCGCUCUGUAGGCCCGGCCGGCGCUUGCCGAUCAACCCAA
rnacentral:rRNA from 1 species